UACGAAGGGGGCUAGCGUUGCUCGGAAUCACUGGGCGUAAAGCGCACGUAGGCGGAUUGUUAAGUCAGGGGUGAAAUCCUGGAGCUCAACUCCAGAACUGCCUUUGAUACUGGCGAUCUCGAGUCCGGGAGAGGUGAGUGGAACUGCGAGUGUAGAGGUGAAAUUCGUAGAUAUUCGCAAGAACACCAGUGGCGAAGGCGGCUCACUGGCCCGUUCUUGACGCUGAGGCGCGAAAGCUAGGGUAGCAAACGGGG
rnacentral:rRNA from 1 species